CGCCUCUUGUGCCCAUAAGAGGUCCAGCCUGCCCAGUGACCCAGUUCAACGGCCGCGGUAUCCUAACCGUGCAAAGGUAGCGUAAUCACUUGUUUUCUAAAUAAAGACUAGUAUGAAAGGCACCACGAGACCCAAACUGUCUCCUUUUUCCAAUCAGUGAACCUAAUUUCCCCGUGAAAAAGCAGGGAUAAAAUAAUAAGACGAGAAGACCCUAUGGAGCUUUAAACACUAUCACAACUGUUAAACCCGAACAUAUAAAUGUUCUAAGUACACCAUGAUUAUGUGUUUUCAGUUGGGGUGACUACGGAGAAAAUCCCAUCCUCCAUGAUGAUAAGGCCCCACGCCUAAACAACAAGUUACAACUUUAAGUAUCAAUAAAUUGACUCCAUUGACCCAAUACAUUGAUUAACGAACCAAGUUACCCUAGGGAUAACAGCGCAAUCCACUUCGAGAGCCCCUAUCGACAAGUGGGCUUACGACCUCGAUGUUGGAUCAGGGUAUCCUAGUGGUGCAGCCGCUACUAAAGGUUCGUUUGUUCAACGAUUAAAACCCUACGUGAUCUGAGU
rnacentral:rRNA from 1 species